UACGAGGGGGGCGAGCGUUGUUCGGAAUUAUUGGGCGUAAAGGGCGCGUAGGCGGCGGGGUAAGUCGGGUGUGAAAUCUCAGGGCUCAACCCUGAAACUGCACUUGAUACUGCUCUGCUUGAGGACUGGAGAGGAGACUGGAAUUCACGGUGUAGCAGUGAAAUGCGUAGAUAUCGUGAGGAAGACCAGUGGCGAAGGCGGGUCUCUGGACAGUUCCUGACGCUGAGGCGCGAAGGCCAGGGGAGCAAACGGG
rnacentral:rRNA from 1 species